UUGAGUGUUGGGUUUUCGGGUUUGUUUGUGUUGACACGAGGCACUCUCGGUUGGCUGAGUGUUUGUCAAUUAUUUGAUGUCUGUUUGCGCGUGUUUACGUAAAUGUUUAACGAGGUUGUAAGUUCGCUGCCGCCUGUGGAUCUCUGAGUUGUUGUUGCUUCAAUUCUUGCGCCUUCCUUUGUUUUUCCUAUUGUAAGGAAGGCGUUGUUGUUGCAUCAGUUCCCGUUUUUCUCUCAUUACCCACUGGCAUCCCAUUAAAAUAUCUCAACGAGAACGCAACGGGUCACGAGGGUGCUUAUCGUGGCGUCGUCGCCUUACUUCGCUUCAAUUGAAUUUCUAUCGCGUAAUCGAUAGAUAAUUGGUAAUCGUAAUUUUCAUAAUUUUUGGCUUUUCUUUUCACUUGGUUUUCCCCCCGGACUCGGGGGCCUUCUUCAUAGCUCAGCUCUGUGGAAAGCUCCGUCAUGGCGAGACACUUACGACUCUUUGUAGCAGGUCUUAGGCUGCUGAUCGACUGUAUGUUGGGGCAAGAGACUGCGGUAGGAGGGGCAGUCGGUCAGGCAAUUUGAUGGACGAUUUACACAGGCAGAAUGGAGUGUGACGGAGAGAUUUGCAUAUUAUGAUAAUAAACUAGGCGAAUUAGAACGAUAACAGACAGUUAAUUGAUGUUGUGUGUGCACUUGAGGUUGCGUAUUUUUACUGUUUAACCGUUAAAUAUUUUGGUUUAGCAGGCAUUGUUUUUUUUAUUGGAUUUCAUAGAAGGCCAACGGUAUUAUGAGAAAAUGUUUUUCCCGAAUUUCUGGAAAAUAAAUUUCUGA